CGACCAUAAAUACGCAAGCUUUGAAUUUGAAAUUUCGUUAAACGCUACUCUCCAAAAAAUAUCACCGCCGCGCCAUGGCGGCGACUUUAUCAUCUCCAUGGGGUAAACCCGGCGCAUGGGCUGUUGACGCCGAAGAAAAUGAAGCGGAAGACGAGCGACAACAAAGCGGCGCCGGUUCCUCAACCGAAAAGCUCGGGGAUUUCCCUUCCUUAGCCACCGCUGUCACCACCACCAAGGCGAAGAAAAAGAAGGGUCAAACCCUAUCUCUCGCCGAGUUUGCUUCUAAGCCCAGUGAGCCAACCCGACUCACUCGCGAGGAUCUUCUCGCACUCCCCACCGGCCCUCGACAACGUUCCGCUGAGGAACUCGAUCGCAACCGACUAGGUGGUGGUUUUAAAUCUUAUGGUUCGAAUAGGUAUGGUUCCGAUGGCGAUGAUUCUUCGAGUAAUAGUAGAUGGGGAUCUUCUUGGGGAUUGAAUAAAGAUAGAGAAACUGCUCCCUCACGCGCCGAUGAGAUUGAUGAUUGGGCUUCGGCUAAGAAAUCGACUUCCGUCGCGAACGGAUUUGGGGGUGGAUUUGAGAGGAGAGGGAGAGGAGGCGGCGGUGGUGGGUUUUCCAAUUCGCAAUCGAAAGCCGAUGAAGUAGAUAGCUGGGCAGCUAAUAAGAACUAUAAAAGCGCCGCAGAGGCACCGCCUCGGAGAUUUGGUGGGGGUUUCGAAAGAAGCAGUUUCGAUUCGACUCAAGCGAGAGAUUCGCCGAGGGAUUUGGAUAAUUGGGGAAAGAAAAAUGAUGAAAGUGCCAGUUCUGCUGGUAGCGGUGGGGUUAGACCAAAGCUUGUGCUUCAGCCACGUAAAGCUCCUCAAACUGAAAAGGGUAAGAAGGAUGCGACUCCGGCGGAUAAGCCCAAGGGGGCAAAUCCUUUUGGUGAGGCGAGGCCGCGAGAGGAGGUUUUGAAGGAAAAAGGGAAAGAUUGGAAGGAGAUUGAUGAGAAGAUGGAAGCUGCUAAGAUUAAAGAGACAUCAGCAGUUGCUGAGAAAGGAGGAAAGGGAAGUUUCGGGAAUGAGCGUGUGCCGGUGGAAAGAAGCUGGAGGAAGAAUGAGUCUGUUGAGGCUGCUAAUCAACCCUAAAGUGUAGGAGCAUGCUUUCUUCAGUAUGAAGCUCAUUGGUUUGUAUAUGAACUUUCUAUAUGCUGCUGCUGAGUCUGUUGAGGCUGCUAAUCAACCCUAAAGGGCCAAGGAAACGAUGAACGGCCGUGUUCCUGAGAAUUGAAGGCACGGACAGAAAAAGGUUUGUUUAGAAUUAAACUCAAGACUUGACAUCAAUAAAGAUGUAAAUAAUGCAAGUUAUUUGUCACUAUACUACUCCAUCAUUAGUUGAUGUAAUUGUUCGAGUUGUUGAUCGAAUAAAUCUUUUUUUUUUUAUGUCCAUAUCAACAGAUAUGUAAAUAAUGCAAGUUAUUUGUCAUUAUACUACUA